rnacentral:rRNA from 1 species
UACAGAGGUGGCAAGCGUUGUUCGGAAUUACUGGGCGUAAAGGGCGCGUAGGCGGUCUUGUCAGUCCCUUGUGAAAUCCCCCGGCUCAACUGGGGAACUGCACGGGAAACAGCAGGGCUUGAGUUCGGGAGAGGGAAGCGGAAUUCCGGGUGUAGCGGUGAAAUGCGUAGAUAUCCGGAGGAACACCGGUGGCGAAGGCGGCUUCCUGGACCGAUACUGACGCUGAGGAGCGAAAGCGUGGGGAGCGAACAGG